GUGCUCGCUUUGGCAGCACACAUACUAAAAUUGGAACGAUACAGAGAAGAUUAGCAUGGUCCCUGCGCAAGGAGGACAUGCAAAUUUGUGAAGCAUUCCAUAUUUUG
rnacentral:snRNA from 1 species